AGAGUUUGAUCCUGGCUCAGGACGAACGCUGGCGGCACGCCUAACACAUGCAAGUCGAGCGGAGAUUGAGAGCUUGCUCUCAUGAUCAGCGGCGGACGGGUGAGUAACACGUGAGCAACCUGCCUUUCACAGGGGGACGACAGUUGGAAACGACUGCUAAUACCGCAUAACAUUGCCAAACGGCAUCCUUUGGCAAUCGGAGGAGCAAUCCGCUGAAAGAUGGGCUCGCGUCUGAUUAAAUAGUUGGUGAGGUAACGGCCCACCCAGUCGACCAUCAGUAGCCGGACUGAGAGGUUGAUCGGCCACAUUGGGACUGACACACGGCCCACACUCCUACCGGAGGCAGCAGUGGGGGAUAUUGGACAAUGGGGGAAACCCUGAUCCAGCGAUGCCGCGUGAGGGAAGAAGGUUUUCGGAUUGUAAACCUCUGUGGACAGGGACGAUAAUGACGGUUCCUGUUUAGAAAGCCACGGCUAAUUACGUGCCAGCAGCCGCGGUAAUACGUAGGUGGCGAGCGUUGUCCGGAAUUUCUGGGUGUAAAGGGAGUGUAGGCGGGAAGGCAAUUCAGAAGUGAAAAUUAUGGGCUUAACCCAUAACCUGCUUUUGAAACUGUUUUUCUUGAGUGAGGCAGAGGCAAGCGGAAUUCCUAGUGUAGCGGUGAAAUGCGUAGAUAUUAGGAGGAACACCAGUGGGGAAGGCGGCUUGCUGGGCCUUUACUGACGCUGAGGCUCGAAAGCGUGGGGAGCAACCGGAAUAGGUUCCCCUGGUGGUCCCCCCGGUAACCGUUGCAUACAAGAGGUCGGGUAGCAUAGCUAUUCGGGGUCGUCGCACACGCAAUAAGUAUUCCACCUGGGGAGAACGUUCGCACGAAUGAAACUCAAAGGAAUUGACGGGGACCCGCACAAGCGGUGGAGCAUGUGGUUUAAUUUGAAGCAACGCGAAGAACCUUACCUGCUCUUGACAUCCCAUUCGAUAGAGGGUAAUGCCUCUAGCCCUUCGGGGGAAUGGAGACAGGUGGUGCAUGGUUGUCGUCAGCUCGUGUCGUGAGAUGUUGGGUUAAGUCCCGCACCGAGCGCAACCCUUAUUGUCAGUAGCCAGCAGGUGAAGCUGGGCACUCUGAUGAGACUGCCGGGGAUAACCCGGAGGAAGGUGGGGAUGACGUCAAAUCAUCAUGCCCCUUAUGAGCAGGGCUACACACGUGCUACAAUGGCGUAAACAGAGGGAAGCGAAGGAGUGAUCCGGAGCAAAUCUCAAAAAUAACGUCUCAGUUCGGAUUGUAGUCUGCAACUCGACUACAUGAAGCUGGAAUCGCUAGUAAUCGCAGAUCAGAAUGUUGCGGUGAAUACGUUCCCGGGUCUUGUACACACCGCCCGUCA
rnacentral:rRNA from 1 species